AGAGGGGGUUUAUUGCUUUGCACAUGUCGGUCUGUCUGUCUGUCCGUCCACCAGGUGGUUUCUGGAUGAUAACUCAAGAACGCUUGGGCCUAGGAUCAUGAAACUUCAUAGGUACAUUGAUCAUGACACGCAGAUGACCCCUAUUGAUUUUGAGGUCACUAGGUCAAAGGUCAAGGUCACGGUGACCCGAAAUAGUAAAAUGGUUUCCAGAUGAUAACUCAAGAGCGCUUAGGCUUAGGAUCAUGAAACUUGAUAGGAAGAUUGAUCAUGACUCGCAGAUGACCCCUAUUGAUUUUCAGGUCACUAGGUCAAAGGCCAAGGGCACAGUGACCCGAAAUAAUAAAAUGGUUUCCGGAUGAUAACUCAAGAACGCUUAGGCCUAGGGUCAUGAAACUUGAUAGGUAGAUUGAUCAUGACUCGCAGAUGACCCCUAAUGAUUUUCAGGUCACUAGGUCAAAGGUCAAGGUCACGGUGACCCGAAAUAGUAAAAUGGUUUCCGGAUGACAACUCAAGAACGCUUAUGCCUAUGAUCAUGAAACUUCAUAGGUACAUUGAUCAUGACUCGCACAUGACCCCUAUAGAUUUUCAGGUCACUAGGUCAAAGGUCAAGGUCACGGUGACCCGAAAUAGUAAAAUGGUUUCCGGAUGAUAACUUAAGAACGCUUAUGCCUAGGAUCAUGAAACUUGAUAAGUAGAUUGAUCAUGACUCGCAGUUGACCCCUAUUGAUUUUCAGGUCACUAUAUCAAAGGUCAAGGUCACGGUGACCUGAAAUAGUAAAAUGGUUUCCGGAUAAUAACUCAAGAACGCUAAUGGCUAUGAUCAUGAAACUUCAUAGGUACAUCGAUCAUGACUUGCAGAUGACCCCUAUUGAUUUUGAGGUCACUAGGUCAAAGGUCAAGAUCAUGGUGACCCAAAAUAGUAAAAUGGUUUCCGGAUGAUAACUCAAGAACGCUUAUGCCUAGGAUCAUGAAACUUUUUAGGUACAUUGAUCAUGACUCGCAGAUGACCCCUAUCGAUUUUUAGGUCAAAGGUCAAGUUCAUGGUGACCCGAAAUAGUAAAAUGGUUUCCGGUUAUUAACUGAAGAACGCUUAUUCCUAGGAUCAUGAAACUUGAUAGGUAGAUUGAUCAUGACUCGCAAAUGACCCCUAUUGAUUUUCAGGUCACUAGGUCAAAGGGCAAGGUCACGGUGACCCGAAAUAGUAAAAUGGUGUCCGGAUGAUAACUCAAGAACGCUUAUGGCUAGGAUCAUGAAACUUCAUAGGUACAUUGAUCAUGACUGGCAGAUGACCCCUAUUGAUUUUCAGGUCACUAGGUCAAAGGUCAAGGUCACAAUGACA